rnacentral:rRNA from 1 species
AUUGAACGCUGGCGGCAUGCCUUACACAUGCAAGUCGAACGGCAUCGCGGGAAAGCUUGCUUUCCUGGCGGCGAGUGGCGCACGGGUGAGUAACACAUCGGAACGUACCGGCUAGUGGGGGAUAACCCGUCGAAAGACGGGCUAAUACCGCAUACGCUCUUCGGAGGAAAGCAGGGGACCUUUGGGCCUUGCGCUAGCCGAGCGGCCGAUGUCCGAUUAGCUAGUUGGUGGGGUAAAGGCCUACCAAGGCGACGAUCGGUAGCGGGUCUGAGAGGACGAUCCGCCACACUGGGACUGAGACACGGCCCAGACUCCUACGGGAGGCAGCAGUGGGGAAUCUUGGACAAUGGGGGCAACCCUGAUCCAGCAAGGCCGCGUGGGUGAAGAAGGCCUUCGGGUUGUAAAGCCCUUUCGGCAGGGAAGAAAUCGGCGGGGCGAAUAACCCUGCUGGAUGACGGUACCUGCAGAAGAAGCACCGGCUAACUACGU